UUAUGGCCAUAUCACAUUGAAACACCGAUUCUCAUACAAUCACCAAAGUUAAGCAUCAUUGAACCUGGUCCUUACCUUGGUGGGCAACUGCUUGGGAAUACUGGGUGUUGUAAG